GAGUUUGAUCUUGGCUCAGGAUGAACGCUGGCGGCGUGCUUAACACAUGCAAGUCGAGCGAAGCGAAUCUUCGGAAGUUUUCGGAUGGAAGAGGAUUUGACUUAGCGGCGGACGGGUGAGUAACGCGUGGGUAACCUGCCUUACACUGGGGGAUAACAGUUAGAAAUGACUGCUAAUACCGCAUAAGCGCACAGGGCCGCAUGGCCUGGUGUGAAAAACUCCGGUGGUGUAAGAUGGACCCGCGUCUGAUUAGGUAGUUGGCGGGGUAACGGCCCACCAAGCCGACGAUCAGUAGCCGACCUGAGAGGGUGACCGGCCAC
rnacentral:rRNA from 1 species